rnacentral:rRNA from 1 species
CCUACGGGAGGCAGCAGUGGGGAAUAUUGGACAAUGGGCGAAAGCCUGAUCCAGCAAUGCCGCGUGAGUGAUGAAGGCCUUAGGGUUGUAAAGCUCUUUUACCAGGGAUGAUAAUGACAGUACCUGGAGAAUAAGCUCCGGCUAACUCCGUGCCAGCAGCCGCGGUAAUACGGAGGGAGCUAGCGUUAUUCGGAAUUACUGGGCGUAAAGCGUACGUAGGCGGUUAUUCAAGUCAGAGGUGAAAGCCCGGGGCUCAACCCCGGAACUGCCUUUGAAACUAGAUAACUAGAGUCUUGGAGAGGUUAGUGGAAUUCCGAGUGUAGAGGUGAAAUUCGUAGAUAUUCGGAAGAACACCAGUGGCGAAGGCGACUAACUGGACAAGUACUGACGCUGAGGUACGAAAGCGUGGGGAGCAAACAGGAUUAGAUACCCUGGUAGUCCACGCCGUAAACGAUGAUAACUAGCUGUCCGGGCACUUGGUGCCUGGGUGGCGCAGCUAACGCAUUAAGUUAUCCGCCUGGGGAGUACGGUCGCAAGNUUAAAACUUAAAGAAUUGACGG